rnacentral:rRNA from 1 species
GCAAGCGUUAUCCGGAUUCACUGGGUUUAAAGGGUGCGUAGGCGGGUUGGUAAGUCCGUGGUGAAAUCCCCAAGCUUAACUUGGGAACUGCAUCCGAUACUGGAUGGCUUGAAUCCGGGAGAGGGAUGCAGAAUUCCAGGUGUAGCGGUGAAAUGCGUAGAUAUCUGGAGGAAUACCGGUGGCGAAGGCGGCAUCCUGGACCGGCAUUGACGCUGAGGAGCGAAAGCUAGGGGAGCAAACGGG